UCCGUAGGCGGGCAAUUAAGUCAGAGGUGAAAGUUUGCGGCUCAACCGUAAAAUUGCCUUUGAAACUGGUUGUCUUGAAUUAUUGUGAAGUGGUUAGAAUAUGUAGUGUAGCGGUGAAAUGCAUAGAUAUUACAUAGAAUACCAAUUGCGAAGGCAGAUCACUAACAAUAUAUUGACGCUGAUGGACGAAAGCGUGGGGAGCGAACAGGAUUAGAUACCCUGGUAGUCC
rnacentral:rRNA from 1 species